UUUUUCAGUCAUUCACUCUGGUAAUUCAGCUUCCAUAUCAACAUUAAUGGACUUGCCUUUAAGUUUACCAAAGGGGAGUUAUAAGAUUCACGCAACAUUAACAGACAAGGAUACCGGAGAUAUUUAUUCGAUGCUUGAAUUUAUAUCAUCGAGAUCAACAAUUAAUGGCGAGAUUGU